AAGUCGUAACAAGGUUUCCGUAGGUGAACCUGCGGAAGGAUCAUUGCAAAAAUAUGGGAGAGUUGUAGGAAUGUGUGGUAGACAAAGUAGACAAACGAGAUUUUAAAAAACUAUAGGACUCUCCACAAUGGAUCUCUGGGCUCUU
rnacentral:misc_RNA from 1 species